UACAGAGGUCUCAAGCGUUGUUCGGAUUCAUUGGGCGUAAAGGGCGCGUAGGCGGUGGGGUAAGUCUGGUGUGAAAUCUCGGAGCUCAACUUCGAAAUUGCACUGGAUACUGCUCUGCUAGAGGGCUGGAGAGGAGAUCGGAAUUCACGGUGUAGCAGUGAAAUGCGUAGAUAUCGUGAGGAAGACCAGUGGCGAAGGCGGAUCUCUGGACAGCUCCUGACGCUGAGGCGCGAAGGCUAGGGGAGCAAACGGG
rnacentral:rRNA from 2 species